GUGGAAUUGACUUACCUACGGUGAGGAGAUUUUCACCGGUUAUUGUUGAGGUUGAUGAAGAUGAUGCGCGAACAAUUCGUAAACACGGGGCUGCAACUGGAGGCUUUUGAUGAAGGUGAUGCCACAACACCUCAUUGGACUUAUGGGAGCGCCUUAAAGAUGGAACUUCAAGUUGUUGGAAGCUUGAAGAUGAAGAUCUUCAAGAAAGGUAUGAAGAACUACCUUUUCCUUCUUCCUUACUUUGUAACUAGAAUACUCACCUCCAAUAGAGAUUCUCUUGGCUUGAGAAUUUCUUCUUGCCAAGAGGUCUAUUGAACAAUAUGAGCAAUAGAGAGAGAAGAGAGAA